UAUAAAAUUUGUAUGACUGCAAUAUCUGGAGAGUACCAGUUUGACAGCAUAAAACAUAACCAAAGAUGAUUGAAAGUAAGGAUGCUGGCUAUGUUUGUG